CGGCGGCCAUAGCGAGAGGGAAACGCCCGGUCACAUUCCGAACCCGGAAGCUAAGACUCUUUGCGCCGAUGGUACUGCAGGGGGGACCCUGUGGGAGAGUAGGACACCGC
rnacentral:rRNA from 1 species